rnacentral:rRNA from 1 species
GAUGAACGCUAGCUACAGGCUUAACACAUGCAAGUCGAGGGGCAGCAUGGUCUUAGCUUGCUAAGGCCGAUGGCGACCGGCGCACGGGUGAGUAACGCGUAUCCAACCUGCCUUACACUCUUGGACAGCCUUCUGAAAGGGAGAUUAAUACAAGAUGUUAUCAUGAGUAAGCAUUUUCGCAUGAUUAAAGGUUUACCGGUGUAAGAUGGGGAUGCGUUCCAUUAGAUAGUAGGCGGGGUAACGGCCCACCUAGUCUUCGAUGGAUAGGGGUUCUGAGAGGAAGGUCCCCCACUAUUGGAACUGAGACACGGUCCAAACUCCU